AGGGAGCAUGUACGCGUCACGACGUGAACAUUACAUUCAUUGCGGUGCUGCCGUGCCGUGAAUGUUGGCCUCUGUCGACGAUUAUCCAGACAUCCCCAACGUCAAAGCAGCAGUACCUUUUCCUCAGCAUCUUUAUUUUCCACUGGGCUUUGUGGACAGGAAUGUCUUUCGACAUGUUCCAACUUUAAACUGUUCAUUUUACCUGUAGAUAAUUGCAUGAUUGUGUAUUGUGCUAAAAGAAUGUCCCGCACGGCUACCGUAGCUGAGACGAAGAAGCUGCUCUCGCUCCCCGGAUGUAACGCAACCAAGUGAUAUAUUUUGUUCUCUGAAUCCUCGUUCACGACAAACAGGAACCCGACGACAUUGAGCAGUUACAGGAAGGAGAAGUAGCUGGGACCAUUUCUGCUGUCGCACAGGCUGCGUUCUCUGACCACAAUGUCCAGUACCAAUUUCGCACAGACAAUAAUGGCGGGCAGGUAAAGACUAU